rnacentral:rRNA from 1 species
GUCUUUUUGUAUUAUAUUUAAAGUCUAACCUGCCCACUGAAAAAUUUAAAGGGCCGCGGUAUUUUGACCGUGCAAAGGUAGCAUAAUCAUUAGUCUUUUAAUUGAAGGCUCGUAUGAAUGGUUGAACGUAGUAUUAGCUGUCUCAUAAAAAAUUAAAGUAGAAUUUAACUUUUUAAUUAAAAGGUUAAAAUAAAUUUAAAAGACGAGAAGACCCUAUAGAGCUUUAUAAUAUUUUUGUAUAAUUUAUUUAGAAAAAUUAAAAUAAUACAUAAUUUAUUAUUUUGUUGGGGUGACAAUAAAAUUUAAUAAACUUUUAUUAAUUAUAAACAUUAAUUUAUGAAUAAUUGAUCCAGUUAUAUUGAUUAUAAAAUUAAGUUACCUUAGGGAUAACAGCGUAAUUUUUUUUAAGAGUUCAUAUCGACAAAAAAGAUUGCGACCUCGAUGUUGGAUUAAGGGUUAUUUUUGGGUGUAGAAGUUCAAAGUUUAGGUCUGUUCGACCUUUGAAUCCUUACAU